rnacentral:rRNA from 1 species
UACGAAGGGGGCUAGCGUUGUUCGGAAUUACUGGGCGUAAAGCGUGCGCAGACGGUUGCGUAAGUCAGAUGUGAAAGCCCCGGGCUCAACCUGGAUAUUGCAUUUGAGACUGCGUAGCUAGGGUGCGGAAGAGGGAAGCGGAAUUUCCGGUGUAGCGGUGAAAUGCGUAGAUAUCGGAAGGAACACCAGUGGCGAUAGCUGCUUCCUGGUCCGACACCGACGGUCAGGCACGAAAGCGUGGGGAGCAAACAGG